rnacentral:rRNA from 1 species
AGUGAACGCUGGCGGCAGGCCUAACACAUGCAAGUCGAACGGCAGCACAGAGGAGCUUGCUCCUUGGGUGGCGAGUGGCGGACGGGUGAGGAAUACAUCGGAAUCUGCCUAUUUGUGGGGGAUAACGUAGGGAAACUUACGCUAAUACCGCAUACGACCUACGGGUGAAAGCGGAGGACCUUCGGGCUUCGCGCAGAUAGAUGAGCCGAUGUCGGAUUAGCUAGUUGGCGGGGUAAAGGCCCACCAAGGCGACGAUCCGUAGCUGGUCUGAGAGGAUGAUCAGCCACACUGGAACUGAGACACGGUCCAGACUCCUACGGAAGGCAGCAGUGGGGAAUAUUGGACAAUGGGCGCAAGCCUGAUCCAGCCAUGCCGCGUGGGUGAAGAAGGCCUUCGGGUUGUAAAGCCCUUUUGUUGGGAAAGAAAAGCAGCCGGUUAAUACCCGGUUGUUCUGACGGUACCCAAAGAAUAAGCACCGGCUAACUUCGUGCCAGCCGCCGCAGUAA